UUUUUUUAUUAACAUAUGUUUUUUUUGCGAUUCUCAGACAAAAUUAGGAUCUCACAGUUAUUUUCCUUUUUGUGACAAUUUUUUGGAAGAAUAGGAACAAGUUUAUUCCUGACAUCAUAUUAAUCUCUGAAAGUAUUUUAGGUAGUGGUGUUGUUUUUCUCGAGUUUAUUCUUCUUCUUUUUUUCCUUGUAAAGAUGGAAAGUGGGAGAUGAGAAUACAUUAUCUUUUUAACAAAGGAUCCUUUGCAGAUGAUAGGAUUCUAGUUGUAGGUCAUGCUAUAAGUUCUAGAUAUCUUGAAAUUCUUCAAUUUUGCAUUACUAAUUAUUAAUAGUUUUCUUUUUAUUGCAAUGGAAUUUUGAUGAAUUAUGCAUCCCAGGUUAUGCUCGCUGGAUUGGCUGAUACAUGGCCUGCCAGGCGUAAAUGGACAACUGAUAAACUGUUGCUAAACUAUGGAGAUGUAGCAUUUAAAAUUUCUCAAAAGAGUUCGCGGAAGAUCUCCAUAAAGUUCAAGGAUUAUGUCUCUGACAUGAAAGUUUAGCAUGAUGGAGAUCCCUUGUAUAUUUUUGAUGAAAAGUUUGGCGAAACUGCACCUAGCUUAUUGAAGGAUUAUUGUGUGCCUCAUCUUUUUCAAGAAGACUUCUUUGAUAUCUUAGAUACAGAUAAACGACCAUCCUAUAGGUGGCUCAUAAUUGGACCAGAGAGAUCUGGUGCCUCUUGGUAUGUUGAUCCAGCUCUUACCAGUGCAUGGAAUUCUCUUCUUUGUGGCCGUAAAAGGUAAAGAUAUAAGCUUCUUGACAUGCAAAAUUUGCCUCCAUUUUGGCUGUGUAGCUUGUAGCCUAGACUGUUACUAUUUACAUGGUGUUUGAGGAAGCUAUAUGUAUAGUGUGUUUCCAUUUUGAGUUUAAUCCUUGAAAACAAUUAGUUGGUUCCUCCAGCUUAUUACUAUUCUUUCGUUUUGUUUUUUGGAGUUAGGGGGAUAGGAAUAAGGAAAGGUGGAUUAAAUGUGAGUGUUUAGACUUGUUAGGGAUUAAACUAGGCAUACUUUUUUCCUGAGGAAACUAGGUGCCAUUAGGCUGCAAGGCCAUUGGUUUUCAGUUUAUUAUUGCUAUUAAUAUUACUUUCUAUUCGCUAUUAAUGCACAACAACCCAAUGGUUGGUCUAUACAAAGAUGUUUGGUUUACAAGUUUCACAUUUUUGAAUCAUAGUAGUCAACAGCAUGCUACAGUGGGGUGGAGUGGCCCUUGCCUGUACACGCUUCAAAAACCCAUUUUAUUCCUGAAAGUCUGAAACAAUGUUGUUUAGAGGUUUUUUUGGGCAAAAUUGUGAUGUCUUCCCCUUUUUCUAAUGCAUUUCUUUUUUAAUUCAGAAACAUAAUAGGAUUUGAAACCCUUCUUUCUUGACCAUUCCACAAAAAAGCUACUCCAGUUUUGACCUUUGUUUCUUCACACUUUACAGGAUAUGUUUUUCCUUGUGUUCCCAGUUCACAUUCUACUAAUUUUUAUCUAAUUUGUUAAGUUCUUUUUCUAUUAAUUUCACUAUCAUUUUUUUGGCUUCAUUAGCAUGUUCUUAUAGCUCCUAGAUUGAUGAUAGUGACUGUGUGUGUAAACUGUGAUUUAUUUAUCACUAACUUCAACUCUUUUUUUUGAGUAUUUAUAUCAUUAUAUGUGUAUUAUAAUUAUUUAGUUUGUAACUUUGUAUUAUAAUAUUUAAAAUACUGGUCACUCCACUUCCCACUAUAGUGUUUUCAAAGUUAGCCCCUACAUGUGGGUAUCUGGGAUUGAUAAUUAUGUUCUGAAUUUUAAUGCAACUUAAACUAUAAUUCAAUGCUUUCUGAACUAAUGCUACUUGACAGAAUUUUCUCUCUAGAAUUUAUAAAUUUAGUAGCACUGAGAUAGUAUGUGAGAAAUAAGAUUUGUCACUUUUAGA